rnacentral:lncRNA from 1 species
CAAAAAUACUUUUUAAAAAUUACAUCUUUUUAUUAUUUAAAGUGGCAUUUAUGAAAUUUGAUAUGCACAAACUUAAAAGAAGAGCAUAGUAGGCACUUGCUAAGUUAAUUUAAUAAAAAUAAAUGGCCUUAAUACAUUUUGUCUACUUAGUCUUCAAGUCAGUGAGUAGAUAGAGGUAUUUGAAGAAAAUGCACCACAAACU